rnacentral:rRNA from 1 species
CCUACGGGAGGCAGCAGUGAGGAAUAUUGGUCAAUGGACGAGAGUCUGAACCAGCCAAGUAGCGUGAAGGAUGACUGCCCUCUGGGUUGUAAACUUCUUUUAUAUGGGAAUAAAACGUUCCACGUGUGGGAUUUUGUAUGUACCAUAUGAAUAAGGAUCGGCUAACUCCGUGCCAGCAGCCGCGGUAAUACGGAGGAUCCGAGCGUUAUCCGGAUUUAUUGGGUUUAAAGGGAGCGUAGGUGGAUUGUUAAGUCAGUUGUGAAAGUUUGCGGCUCAACCGUAAAAUUGCAGUUGAAACUGGCAGUCUUGAGUACAGUAGAGGUGGGCGGAAUUCGUGGUGUAGCGGUGAAAUGCUUAGAUAUCACGAAGAACUCCGAUUGCGAAGGCAGUUCACUGGACUGCAACUGACACUGAGGCUCGAAAGUGUGGGUAUCAAACAGGAUUAGAUACCCUUGUAGUC